CAAAUGCUUUAAAGAGGAGAAAACUUCCUUCCAUAUCUCUGCAGCUGAGUUUAUACAUUGUUGUUGUAGUACUGCAAAUAUUUUCUUUGUUGGUUUCCUAAUUACUUCUUUGCACUUUGCAGUGUUUGUUUUUAACACCAUGUGUUUUUUACGUGUGGAGUGUAAGCCCAUGAGGGCUGGGCACCAGAAGGUGCACGACACUUAAAUAAAAUUAAUCAAAUCAAAAUUAACAUCACUUAUCUAAAGAGCAUUAAACAUGUUUGGUUGUUUUCUCUUUUAUUUUUCUUCCUUGCUGAAUAGCUGGCUGCAUUUGACAAUUUCUUUACUGCUGGAGGUCGUAAAACCAUUUCCUUCAUCAAGAGUCGGAGAUCCCAGGUAUAGUGUGGACGCUCAUAUUCUGGACCAAGCAAAGAUGGAAAAACACUGAGGUUGUUUYUUGCUGAUUUAGCUCAGACAGACCUCACAGGCUUGUGCUGUGUCUUCAUUCGGACUGAAGCAGAUGUUCCUCUGAGAAGAUACAUGAGGURAGGUGGUUUGUGUAAAUAUCCAUAUUUUUCUAUUAAUGUAUUUUAGUGGCAUGACUGGGAUAAAAAAAAUCUCUUUUUCAUGUACAUAUAAGAUAAAAAUGGUGGCGUUUUUGCUUUUAAAUGUAAUAACUGCAACCUUUGUAAUAUAAUGCUUAUAAUACAUCCCAGAAACUGAAUUUGGACUUGCCCUAAUGUGUCAAGUGCAUUUAUUUGAAAGCAUAUCAGUGCAAAUGUUUGCAGCUCUUGAAAUAAUAAAAGUCAAGUGCAGGUAAGAAAAACUGGGUUAUCUAUGGUUCAAGCAUUUGAUUAUAAAAUCUCUGGAGGUUUUCUCAUUCUACUGGGUUGAGACCCUCUGGAAGAACCAGACUCAGAACUUGCUGGAGGGAUUAUGUGAUGUCUUUGGCCUGAGAACGCCUUGAGAUCCUUCAGGAGGCACUGGGGAGAGGGAUGUCUGGGUUUACCUCCYGAAUCGUUGCCUCCUCGACUGGACCAAGUGGGAGAAAAUGAACGGAUUAAUGGAAAUCUUUUUCUCAGUGACUGAUGCCAGAGACGACCUCCUGAAAGGAAUAAGGAACACCUACAAAUUUGUGCUGCCUGCAUUUGAAGCGCAGGGAAUUUGCCUUAGAAAAAUCCAGGCAUGGAGAGAAAAUUAAAAAGAACUUCCCGCAUGAAAUGAAACAAUGUCUGAACUCUACAGAUGGUAAUUUAAUUUGUUGUUGCUUUUUUAUGUUGUCUCCUGCAGUCUUUUGAGUGUGGAUCUUUAGAAGGGAU